rnacentral:rRNA from 1 species
AUCAAUGAGAGUUUGAUCCUGGCUCAGGAUGAAUGCUGGCGACGUGCCUUAAGCAUGCAAGUCGAGCGAGAUGGUAGCAAUAUCAUCUAGCGGCGGACGGCUGAGUAACGCGUAGGAAUCUGCCUUAAAGUGCGGGAUACCUCCUCGAAAGAGGAGCUAAUACCGCAUGUGAACGAAAGUUUAAAGGAGCUAACCCUCCGCUUUAAGAUGAGCCUGCGUCCUAUCAGUUUGUUGGUGGGGUAAAAGCCUACCAAGACUAUGACGGGUAGGGGGUGUGAGAGCAUGGCCCCCCAGAAUGGAACUGAGACACGGUCCAUACACCUACGGGUGGCAGCAACUGGGAAUCUUCGACAAUGGGCGAAAGCCUGAUCGAGCGACGUCGCGUGGGGGAUGAAGGCCUUCGGGUUGUAAACUCCUUUUGCUAGAGAACAAUCUAAUUGAGUUAACCUAGCGAAUAAGCACCUGCAAACUACGUGCCAGCAGCAGCGGUGAUACGUAGGGUGCAAGCAUUAUCCGGAUUUAUUGGGCGUAAAGGGUUGCGUAGGUGGUUUAGUAAGUCUUUUCUUAAAGACCCUGGCUUAACUAGGGUACUGGAGCAGAUACUGCUAGACUUUGAAGAAGUGAGAGGUCAGCGGAACUUAUGGUGGAGCAGUGAAAUGCGUUGAGAUCAUAAUGAACACCGAUGGCGUAGGCAGCUGACUGGCACUUUCUUGACACUGAGGCACGAAAGCUAGGGGAGCGAAAGGGAUUAGAGACCCCUGUAGUCCUAGCCGUAAACGAUGGACACUAGAUGACGGGCCUUAUAAGUUCGUUGUCGCAAGCUAACGCGUUAAGUGUCCCGCCUGGGGAGUACGAACGCAAGUUUAAAACUCAAAGGAAUUGACGGGGGACCGCACAAGCGGUGGAGCAUGUGGUUUAAUUCGAUACAAAGCGAAAAACCUUACCUGGGUUUGAAAUGUACCUGCAAAUCCUACGAAAGUAGGACUUCUUCGAGAGUGGUACACAGAUGCUGCAUGGUUGUCGUCAGCUUGUACCGUGAGGCGCACCCUUAAGUGGGUCAACAAGCGCAACCCGCAUCGUGUGUUAAAUAUUCACACGAAACUGCCUCAUUUACUGGGGAGGAAGGAGCGGAUGAUGUCAAAUCAGCACGGCUCUUACAUCCAGGGCUACACACAUCCUACAAUGGCGAAUAACAACGAGCUGCAACCGGGUAACCGGAAGCCAAUCUCUGAAAUUUCGCCUCAGUUCAGAUUGAGGGCUGCAAUUUGCCCUCAUGAAGUCGAAAUCGCUAGUAAUCGCGGAUCAGCAGGCCGCGGUGAAUACGUUCUCGGUCCUUGUACACACUGCCCGUCAAGCCAACAAAGUUGGGGGCGCCCGAAGUCCAUCGUAUGAUGGCCGAAGGUGAAUCCAGCGAUGGGGACUAAGUCGUAACAAGGUAUCCGUAGAUGAAUCUGCGGAUGGAUCACCUCCUUU